CCUACGGGUGGCAGCAGUAGGGAAUAUUGCUCAAUGGGCGAAACCCUGAAGCAGCAACGCCGCGUGGAGGAUGACGGUUUUAGGAUUGUAAACUUCUUUUGUGAGAGAAGUUAAUGACGGUAUCUCACGAAUAAGCACCGGCUAACUCCGUGCAAGCAGCCGCGGUAAUACGGAGGGUGCAAGCGUUACUCGGAAUCACUGGGCGUAAAGAGUGCGCAGGCGGGCUUGUAGGUCAGUUGUGAAAUCCUGUAGCUUAACUACAGAACUGCAGUUGAAACUAUGAGUCUAGAGUGUGGUAGAGGUAGGUGGAAUUCGUGGUGUAGCGGUAAAAUGCGUAGAUAUCAAGAGGAACACUGAUUGCGAAGGCGGCCUACUGGA
rnacentral:rRNA from 1 species